UUCCAAGGCAGGAGCCGCCGGCCUCCCUUAUUUAUAUCCCUGGUGAUUGACAGCCAUGCUAUCCAAUGACGACUUAGCCGGCGAGAGGUGGGCUUCCUUUGGUCUAAAAGAUAAAUUACAAAUCAACCACCCGUUUACGAAAUUGGUUUGGGCGAAAUUACAAUACAAGUGCUUUGUUUCUUUCUCUUGUUGUACGUUAAACGAUCUCUUGGGAGUAACUGGUGGAAAUCUACUCCCUUAGAGGCAGUUUACCAAAUGCAACAUUUUUGAAGAUGAGGAAGAUCUGUCACUUGACAAACCUCAGGCAGGUCAGAACUGUCCAAGGGUCACCUGGCAGCGCACAUGAUCAAUCACAUAAGCUUUAUGCCUGUAAGAGCCUGGACCUUGGAAAGCAAAAGCCUCUUGACUAUCCUUGGGGCAAGGACAGCCGCAAGCAUUCACUCUUCAAGGCCCUCACCCUACUCAUCUAGGCCCAUGGUCCCUGAAUGAUUUGUAGCCCAGCCCUUCUGCAGCCCAGCCCUGCGCAGUCCUGCAUGAGUUCCUGGCUUCCUAGGGUCCUUGGAACUUACCUGUACUUUGUAGUCCUUUUGUUGUUUGAAACUGAAAACCAGAAAGUGAUAAAUAUGUGUUGCUACUGAUGGAGUCUUGAACUUUCAACCAACUUGAGCCCUAAUUCAAGAACCUAAGUUUUGAAGAUGGCCUACAGGGAAACCUUCACACUGGAGAUGGUUUGAUUUGACUCUUAAUUCUGCAUGAGACGAUUACAAUUUUCCCAAACAGACCCAACUUGUACAACCAGUUAACUACUAGAACUAACAAUUUUUUGUCAUGAAGAAUGAAUGGCUCCAAAUUGUUAACAACUUUUCAUUCUUAAGAUUAGGUGUAGGAGGUGAAUGUUUAGAGAAAGUUUUUAACCCUCUUACUUUAUAUACUUCUGUAAUGCUUGAAUUUAAAAUGUAUAUUCUUUUUGUAAUUUCAGGACAAAACAGAAGAAUUUGGUUAGAUGUAAAGUGUUGUACAGAGAAUCAAAGGAAUCAGUUUGAAUUAUCUGAUUUUUAACUGAAUUUGAAAAAGACAAUCUGGCAUCACCUAAUUACCAAGAGCCAACUUGUGCUGUCAUAGCUGCCUGGCAGGAGGUUAUAGAUAAUCUGUCUGCAAAAGUCUUCCCUGGGGCAGUGACACUGGAAGUGGCCCUGCAAGUUGAUAAGGAUUUUCUCACGAUACAGCGAGAAUCUGAAUGUCCUUCCCACUUUCCCAGAAACAAAUACAGUUCCUCUAUUCUGUUGUCUUUUUACUAUUGUUAUUUUAAAAAAUUACCCAAGUUAUACAUCCUCAUUGUGAAAUCAGACAAUACAGAAAUGUGUAAACCUUAUUCUGCAAAGGUAA